rnacentral:lncRNA from 10 species
AGCGGGGGUGGGAGCUGCGGACGGCCAUGUGCGCGGCGGAGAGGCCGGGUGGCCACCGAACCUUCCCGCCUGUUCUGCGGGGCGUCUGGGCAUGGCUUUCCCAACCUAGUAACUGCAACUUUUAGCAUCCUACAUGUAGGACUUGGGAAUAUGUGAGACAGCGCCAAGAAUUUAAUCCAGGAGAAUUGACAAGCUUAAAUGAAAUCCAUAUUGCCCACUGAUUUUGUGCAGCUUCAGAUAAGUAAUCUUUCUCCACUUAGCCUUUUGUAACAAUUGAUGUAAUAAAGGUUUGUAGUCUUUGUGUAAUUUAUUAAAGCAUUGUGCCUAAAAUAGAAAAAAAGCAUAGGAACCAUAGGCUGUGUUUUCUUUUGAUUUAAUAUUUUCAUUUCUUCAGUUAAUAGAAAUUUGCCAAAUUCUGAUGUUUUUCUGUAGCAUUAUUUGAAUGAGCAUUGUUUAUUUGAGUGAACAUUCAGCUAAUUGUUACAGAAUCGUUGCCCCCAUUAAUCUUAGGCUGUAGAAUGUAGACAAGUAAAUAGGCAUCAUCAGUAUGAUGAGAGUGAAGCUACUUAAUACUGUGGAAUCAAAUAAAGGAGGAACCCCUUACUAAACCAAGAGGGAGGAAUAAAAUGGAAUGGGACUAGAGAAGCAAUUAGCUUUAAUAAGGGUAUUAUGGAAGACUUUCUAGAUGAGAAGCAGUAAGUACAGAUGUUUGGAGGCAAACACUAGAGAGAUUGUUGGGUAAAGAAGACAAUGCUGGAGGUCUACUUGUGAAGGCCUUGAAUGCUAUGUGCAGAAGUCAGCUUCUGAGAACCAGGAAGAAGAUAUUGAAAGAUUUUAAGUAGAAGAAUCAUAGGAUUGAAUUCAUUUUAGACAGAUCACUGUUACACAAAAAUUUGAGGCAAACAGAAGAGUUUGGAGUAAACAGUAGGCUGUGAGCCAGUAAUGACUUGGACUGAGUUGGUAGCAGGUAGGUGUGAAGAAAAUAAAGUGGUUAUUGGGAGAUUUGGUUAACUGAAAAUGACUGAGGGAGAUAGAUGUCAGGUGACUCCCAAGUGAGUUGGUGGAGCAGCUAGGAGGAUAGUAAUGUCUUCACUGAGAUUAGAAACAAAAUAAGAGAAUAUAUGUUAGGGAAGGAAGAAGUCUUUGUUUUGACCAUGUAAAAUUUGAAGUGCAUGUGAGCCAACCAGUCAUAUAUGUGUAGUGUGCAAUUAGAUAUUCAUUCAACACUGUUGGAAGAGCACCUACUCUGUGCCUGGUACUGUUCUACACACUGAAAUAGGUAAAGCAGCAGCAAAACAAAUGGUUCCUACUCCUGUUUUUUAGAGGGAAACAGCAUAUAAACAAGUUUUAAAAAUAAGAGGAGAGAGAAUAUCCCAUAAAUUCGUGAAGAAGGCUGGGUGCAGUGGCUCAUGCCAGUAAUCCCAGCAGUUUGGGAGGCCGAGGUGGGUGGAUCUCCUGAGUUCAGGAGUUAAAGAGCAGCCUGGCCAACAUGGCAAAACCCCGUCUCUACUGAAAAAAAUUAGCUGGGCAUGGUGGCACGCUCCUGUAAUUCCAGCUACUCCGGAGGCUGAGGCAGGAGAGUAGCUUGAACCCAGGACACGGAGGCUGCAGUGAGCCGAGAUUGCGCCACUGCACUCCAGCCUGGGCGACUGAACGAGACUCCGCCUCAAAAAAAAAGAGUUUGUGAGGAAAAUUAAAAGCUGAUUGGAUAAAGUGUUACUCUGGGGAAAAGAGAGCAAACUUUUGGUGGUUGGUUGAUCAGAGAUGGCCUCACUGAGAAGGUAUUAGAAAGGACAAGAACAGUGUGAGACCAAAGGGAAUAGCUGGGCAAAGGCCCUAAGGUGAAAAAUUUGUUGUGUUUAGGGAAUAGCAAGGUCAGUGUAUCCGAAAUCUAGUGACCAAAAGAAGGAAUGAUAGGAGGUGAAGUCUUCAGCCUCAAUAAGAAGGUGAAGUGCACUGGAAGCCAUUGAAGGAUUUAAGAAAUGGAGUAUCUGGCCGGGCGCGGUGGCUCACGCCUGUAAUCCCAGCACUUUGGGAGGCCGAGGUGGGAGGAUCAAGAGGUCAGGAGAUGGAGACCAUCCUGGCUAACAUGGUGAAACCCCGUCUCUAUUCAAAAUAAAAAAUUUUUUUAAAAAUUAGCCAGGCGUGGUGGCGGGCGCCUGUAGUCCCAGCUACUCGGGAGGCUGAGGCAGGAUAAUGGCGUGAACCCAGGAGGCAGGGCUUGCAGUGAGCCGAGAUCGUGCCACUGCACUCCAGCCUGGGCGACAGAGCGAGACUCCGUCUC